AGCAGCCGCGGUAAUUCCAGCUCCAAUAGCGUAUAUUAAAGUUGUUGCAGUUAAAAAGCUCGUAGUUGAAUUUCGGGAUCAAUAUUUCGGUCAUGCCGUUGGUAUGCACUGUUAUCAUUGAUUUCUCACCUUCUAAAGAACCGUAAUGCCAUUAAUUUGGUGUUACGGGGAAUUAGGACUGUUACCUUGAAAAAAUUAGAGUGUUUAAAGCAGGCUCACGCUUGAAUACAUUAGCAUGGAAUAAUGAAAUAGGACAUCCAAUUCUAUUUUGUUGGUUUCUAGGAUCGAUGUAAUGAUUAAUAGGGAUAGUUGGGGGCAUUAGUAUUCAAUUGUCAGAGGUGAAAUUCUUGGAUUUAUUGAAGACUAACUACUGCGAAAGCAUUUGCCAAGGAUGUUUUCAUUAAUCAAGAACAAAAGUUAGGGGAUCGAAGACGAUCAGAUACCGUCGUAGUCUUAACCAUAAACUAUGCCGACUAGGGAUCGGAUGAUGUUAAUUUUUUAAUGACUCA
rnacentral:rRNA from 1 species